UGUUUGGUUCAUCUUGAGGUAGUCUUAAAGCAAUUAAACCUGUUCUAGCUCCAAUUGUGAUCAAAAUUAUUGUUGUUAACAAUAGAUAGCUCAUAUCUAAUUAUUAUAGAGGACACCUAGGAUAUGAAUAUGAAAUUCAUUUAUUUAAGAAAAAGAAAAAUCAUUAACCAACUCAUUACAAGAAUGUCUAUGGUAAGGAAAAUUUUGGCAUUUAACUUUUGUGAUAAAUAAACAAGUUGGGUAUAAACGAGUUCCUAUGCAUUAUAAACAAGGAUAAAUAAACAAGUAAAGUAUUUCGUUCAUAAUGAAAUGCAAAUGGAACAUUAACGGUUGGUGUAAAUUUAUUCAAAGGAGGACGGUUUGGUUUCACCAAUGCGUCAACAAGGGCAUGAUCAUUAAAUGUUCAAGGAACUUGCCAUUCUUAUGAUCUCUUCAAUACUGUUAUAUUUGUAUUCUUUUUAAUCAUGCAUAUUGUGUAGCAAUUAAAAGAAUGUUGUAAUUUUUUAUGUUCAUUGAAUAUAAACCAACGAAUGAUCUGACUUCUUGAAUGUGAUUAAAAGACCAAAAUCAAUCACUUUUUAAUGCUUUUUCAACUAACCUCUUGCUUAGGGGUUCCACUUGCGAAAUCCAUUACAAUUUGUAAUAGCUUCAUUAACUGUAACUCAUCGGAGCUUAUUAAACUAAUCACAAAUAGUUUAUAAGCUAAUAGUCGAUAUGUAAAUAAAUUUCAAAUAAUAAAACAGUGCGUGAUCAGUUUGUUUACUAAGAAUUAUAUAGAAAAUAAUUUGGCCAAGG
rnacentral:lncRNA from 1 species